AACUGUCAAUUCUCCAAUGGGGUCUGACUGCCGCUUGUUGCUAGUUGUUUGGUUCACACUUCCGUGCUAUCCAGGGUGCACGACGAGGAGGCGAACUAGCAUCACACCCCAUCAUCCAGUUGUUUAGACUACAUGUGACAUGGAGAUAACCAAGUUCAUCCAUCUUGCUGCUAGUCAUCAUCCUCUUCUCUUUCCUUCCACCUUUCAAAACAUUGGAGUCAGAGAACUACUGCUUUCUAGAAGAUUGAACUACAAUUCCCAUAAACCCAUUUAAAGUGGAUAAGGCCUAAUUGUAACGGGUACUUGAUUGCCUGUCCUGGAGAUAACUAAAAUGUAAAUUGCAUUUGGGUAGAACUUAACUCCAGAUUCUAUCAAUAUAAACAACAUAGAUAUCUGAAUUUGCUCAAAUUGUUCCUGAUUUCUUGGGGGUGGAGGGAGAGUUGGUUGCAAAAUAUUUAUUAUUACACUGUUUAAAACAGAUAAAAGCUGUCUAUUUGUCCAUGGACCAGUCCUGGAGCCUGGGGAAGGCUCUGAUGAGUGCUCUGCAUUGGAGGCAGAGAUCGGGCCAAGACUGUCUGACAGUUAUCAGCUACCUUCGGAGUCAGAGAUAAGUGGGGCAGAAGAACAGCUGAAGCCUGUUCCCGAGGUGCGCAUACCCAGAGCUGUCAGGAGAAUGGAACAAUUAAGGAACAGGGGUUGACUCGGGAGUACAGACACAAGUGGACGCUGAAUGGCCCCUCCUAUAGGGAAUAAAUAGGAGCUAAAGGGGAGUUGUUCUUUGCAGGAGAUGAUUAGUUCAUUUAUUAUUUUUGAAGAGUUGCUUAUCUGAGUCCGUGCCUCACAGAGACUUCUUGCCAAGUAUUUCGUUGUACAGCAUUGUGCCUGGAAGCUAUCGGCCUGGCAAUUAUCCAAGGACUGAUAAAGUCUGUUGUUGCAAUUCACCCUUGAAAGGCUUAUUGAUGGAACUUUUCUGGAUGUGAAUGCUAGGAAUUCACAUUAGCCAAAUUAAAAAAGGUUUUUUUUCGGGACAA